rnacentral:rRNA from 1 species
GACGGAGGAUGCAAGCGUUAUCCGGAAUGAUUGGGCGUAAAGCGUCCGCAGGUGGCAGUUUCAAGUCUGCUGUCAAAGACCGGGGCUUAACUUCGGAAAGGCAGUGGAAACUGAACAGCUAGAGUAUGGUAGGGGCAGAGGGAAUUCCUGGUGUAGCGGUGAAAAUGCGUAGAGAUCAGGAAGGACAUCGGUGGCGAAGGCGCUCUGCUGGACCAUAACUGACACUCAGGGACGAAAGCUAGGGGAGCGAAUGGG